UACGUAGGGGGCUAGCGUUGUCCGGAAUCAUUGGGCGUAAAGGGCGCGUAGGCGGCAAGGCAAGUCGGGUGUGAAAGCUUGGGGCUUAACCCCGAAAGGGCACUCGAAACUGCCCUGCUAGAGGGCCGGAGAGGAGAUCGGAAUUCACGGUGUAGCAGUGAAAUGCGUAGAGCUCGUGAGGAAGACCGGUGGCGAAGGCGGAUCUCUGGACGGCCCCUGACGCUGAGGCGCGAAGGCUAGGGGAGCAAACGGG
rnacentral:rRNA from 1 species